ensembl:lncRNA
UCCGGGCGCCUGACCGGGCUGUGGCACUUGGCACAUCUGUUCUCUGACAGCUCUCCCGAUGCUGUCAUCUGUUCCUCUGGCUCGCCCCCUUUCUAGGUAACGUUUGUCGUAAAUGCUAUGGCUGCGGUAGCUAGAAAUCAUUGCUCCAGUUUCCUAAAACAUCGAUAGCUUAUCAAGUUAAGCUUGCCGCUUAUGUUAGCGUUAAAUCGUUUAGGGAAAAUAUUUGCUUUAGUUAGCCAGUUACAGUUAGCCAGCAAGCUAAUCCAGUUUGACAGUUCACUAGCUUGUCAGAUGGCAUCUAUAAAUGGUUAGUUUGUGGUCUAACUUAAGGCUUUUUUUGCAAGUGUCAACAUGGGAUAAUAAUUCAACCUCACCACAAAAGUUCAGAGACAGGUCCAGUGUACCUGAUGAAUCCUUUGCGACAUGCUAGCUACCUUGGUAUAUCAGCAGCCUAUCUGCAUUUACAGUCUUAAUAUAAUGGGCGUUAGCGGUUUCUUCCUAUCCAUCUGUAGGGUUAGGGGCAACUAGAUGCUGCACGACAGCUUUGCUAUCUUACACUGGACAGAAUCGUUAAAGGCAUUUUGAGGGUCGUCAGUUAACUUAUUGCCUUGGAAAAUGCAAACCUAUAUUACACUAUUCGAUGGAAGUCUUUUACAGUCUCUUGCGGUUUCAUUAACCUUAGUUUGCCGUAGCUAAAUCUCUCGGCAGUCUUGGUUAAUAACCUAGCUGAAUGGCUUGCUAUGCAAUUUUCCGUUUCUUGCACCUUCCGAGUCGUGUCAGCUGAAGGGUGUUUGUUUCCUUGUACGGAUCCAAACAGUGGCUAGUUUUAGCAGAUUUUGAGGUAAACUUCUUAUCAUAUGUUGCUAGCCCGUGAAUUAUCAAAGCAAAUACUUUUUUGCAUAAUCACAAAACCGGACUCUGUUUACAAACUUGCUAUUUUUGAUGCACAUAAUGAGUGAUCAUUAUGUGAAGGUAAAAGUUCAGCUUGAACAACUGAAGUCUACGGGCGAGGUGGAGGAGGCAGAGACAGCUGGGGAGGAGCAGGUGCCCAACGAAACGCCGCCGGCAUCCCUUUCCCCUCUUCCCGUUGCCCUUGAAGUCCGGAGGGAUGCCUCAAAGAAUCCCGGCACGGCCAGGAACAGGAGCAAAAGUCGGACUAAGCUCGGAACUAUGACAAGAGCCCUAACACUAAACAAGACGCGCCCGUUUCGAGCCACCUGGACAAUGCGCCGUCGCUCCAGGUUAAAGGUACCGGAAAGGUUUUACAGGAGAAAGCGGAGGCGAACGGAAACGUGGUGACCAGCCAGCCACAUAAAGAUAUCAAAAGUGCACACAGCAAAGAGGAUGCCAACACACUUGUCAAAAAGAGGAGACCAGUCACCGUGGACACGUCCAAGGCCAAGACAUCUCUUGAGGCGCUCAAACUCAGCAUCCGGCAGCUCAAGUGGAAGGAGGUACGCUCAAAUAGCGAUGGUCAAACAGUCACAUAUACAUAUAGUUUUGAUGCCGCUUCCGUGAAUUUAUUUCUGGUCAGCAUGGCG